UGACGGUACCCUACUAGAAAGGAGCCGCUAACUUCGUGCCAGAAGCGUCGGUAAUACGGGGGCUCCAAGCGUUAUCCGGUGUUAUUGGGCGUAAAGAGUCGUGUAGGUGGUUGGGUAAGUUAUCUUUCAAAUAUCUUUGCUUAACAAAGAGGAGGGGGAUAAUACUGCUCGACUAGAAUUUUCUCAAGGGAGAUCGGAACUGAGGGAGGAGUAGUGAAAUGCGUUGAUACCCUCGGGAACACCAGUGGCGUAGGCGGAUCUCUGGGAGAAGAUUGACACUGAGACACGAAAGCUAGGGGAGCGAAGCAGAUUAGAGACCUGCGUAGUCCUAGCCGUAAACGCAUGCUUGCUAGCUGCAUGAAUCUACCUUCGGGUGGUAUCGUGUGGCGAAGGUAACCCGUUAAGCAAGCCGCCUGGAAAGUACGGCCGCAAGGCUGAAAUUCAAAGGAAUUGGCGGGGAGGCACACAACCAGUGGAACAUGUGGUUUAAUUCGAGACUAACCGAAGAACCUCACCAGGGUUUGACAUGUAGCUGCACGUCUUAAGAAAUUAAGACUCUCUUGAAGGUGCUACACAGGUGCUGCAUGGCUGUCGUCAGCUCGUUCCGUGAGGAGUGCCCUUAAGUGGGACAACGAGCGCAACCCCUAUUACAUGUUAGAAAUGUCAUGUAAGACUGCCUUGCCAUUUGGCGGGGAGGAAGGAGGGGCAGACGUCAAGUCCGCAUGGUCCUUAUGCCCUGGGCUACACACAUGUUACAAUGAGUACGGCAAUGAGUCUGCCGCGAGCACGUAAGUGUAAGCUAAUCUCUUAAAUGUACUCUCAGUGGGGAUUGAGGUCUGCAACUCGACCUCAUGAACACGGAAUUGGUAGUAAUCGCGGGUCAGCUAUACCGCGGUGAUACGUUCUUGCCUCUUGCACACACCGCCCGUCAAACCAGCAAAGUCGAUUGUAUCCGAACCU
rnacentral:rRNA from 1 species